AGAGUUUGAUUCUGGCUCAGAACGAACGCUGGCAGCGUGGAUUAGGCAUGCAAGUCGAACGAGAAGCCCCGUGUUCAAUCUUUCGGGAGAGAACAUUGGGUAGAAAGUGGCGGAAGGGUGAGUAACGCGUGGGCAACCUGCCCCCAAGUUGGGGAUAACUUUGCGAAAGCGAAGCUAAUACCGAAUGUGGAUUUUCAACACAUGUUGGGGUGUUUAAAGGUGGGGAUCCGUAAGGACCUGCCGCUUGGGGAGGGGCCCGCGUCCUAUCAGCUUGUUGGUGAGGUAACGGCUCACCAAGGCUUACGGGUAGCUGGUCUGAGAGGAUGAUCAGCCACACUGGGACUGAGACACUGCCCAGACUCCUACGGGAGGCUGCAGUCGAGGAUCAUUUGCAAUGCGCGAAAGCGUGACAAUGCGACGCUGCGUGGAGGACGAAGGCCCUAGGGUCGUAAACUCCUGUCAGGGGGGAACAAUGAGCGGUGUGUUAAUAUCACGCCGCUGUGAUGGUACUCCCAAAGGAAGCCACGGCUAACUCUGUGCCAGCAGCCGCGGUAAUACAGAGGUGGCGAGCGUUGUUCGGAUUUACUGGGCGUAAAGGGUGCGUAGGUGGCUACGUAUGUCGGAUGUGAAAGCCCACGGCCUAACCGUGGAAGUGCAUCCGAAACUGCGAAGCUAGAGUACAGGGUGGGAGAGCGGAAUUCUUGGUGUAGCGGUGAAAUGCGUUGAUAUCAAGAGGAACACCGGCGGCGAAGGCGGCUCUCUGGAAUGUUACUGACACUGAGGCACGAAAGUUGGGGGAGCAAACAGGAUUAGAUACCCUGGUAGUCCCAACCGUAAACGGUGUGCAUUUGGUGUGGGGGGAAUUGACCCCCUCCGUGCCGGAGCUAACGCGUUAAAUGCACCGCCUGGGGAGUACGGCCGCAAGGCUAAAACUCAAAGAAAUUGACGGGGGCCCGCACAAGCGGAGGAGCAUGUGGCUUAAUUCGAUGCAACGCGAAGAACCUUACCAGGGCUUGACAUGUAACUGCACGCCCGCCGAAAGGUGGGAAGCUUUCGAAGGUGUUACACAGGUGCUGCAUGGCUGUCGUCAGUUCGUGCCGUGAGGUGUUUGGUUAAGUCCAAUAACGAACGCAACCCCUGUGUUUAGUUGCCACCGGCGGUGAUGAGCCGCCGAGCACUCUAGACAGACCGCCCGUACAAGCGGGAGGAAGGUGGGGACGACGUCAAGUCAGUAUGGCCCUUACGCCCUGGGCUGCACACGUGCUACAAUGGCUGGUACAGAGGGACGCAAUGCCGCGAGGUGGAGCAAAUCCCCAAAACCAGCCCCAGUUCGGAUUGGAGUCUGCAACUCGACUCCAUGAAGUUGGAUUCGCUAGUAAUGCCGUAUCAGCUACGACGGCGUGAAUACGUUCCCGGGCCUUGUACACACCGCCCGUCACAUCAUGAAAGCCGUCUGCACCUGAAGUCGCUGAUCCAACUCUCACGAGAGGAAGGCGCCUAGGGUGUGGGUGGUGAUUGGGAUGAAGUCGUAACAAGGUA
rnacentral:rRNA from 1 species